UACGUAGGGACCAAGCGUUGUUCGGAUUUACUGGGCGUAAAGGGCGCGUAGGCGGCUUGACAAGUCACUUGUGAAAUCUCCGGGCUUAACUCGGAACGGCCAAGUGAAACUGUCAUGCUAGAGUGCAGAAGGGGCAAUCGGAAUUCUUGGUGUAGCGGUGAAAUGCGUAGAUAUCAAGAGGAACACCUGAGGUGAAGACGGGUUGCUGGGCUGACACGUGACGCUGAGGCGCGAAGGCCAGGGGAGCAAACGGG
rnacentral:rRNA from 1 species